AGCAGGACACUGAAAGAGAGCCUUCUACUGCUAACCCUUCCUUAAAUGGCUAAAAGGGGAAGAAAAACUGAUACCACUUCCUUUCAUCCUCUCAGUGCAUGAAAAGAUAACUUCAAUACGACCUCACGUAAAGAUUUUCACACAUUCUCCUCUGAGGCUGAUCACUAACAGGACACACUGCAGUCUGUUCAGAGCAGGACACACACGUUUGUUUUUGAGGAAAAGGGUUUGAAAGCUGCUGACGAUCAACAGAGGCUCAGCAGCUGGCAUGGAAGCUGUAGUUGGACUGCUAUUAAUGUGGCUCGGAGUCUCUCAUGGUGAGCUUUUCAUGUUAUAAUUCAUCAAGCUUCAUUUCUGUGUAUGAAUAGCAUGUUUUGCAGGAUUCAAAACUCAAUGACACAAGUUUUACAAAAUAAAUAAAUAAAUAAAUUCAGUUCAGGACAUGUUGAACAUAAUGACAGUACUAUUGUCUGAACUCUUUAACUUUACAUUAAUGCUACGUUCUAAUAUGAUUUCAACAUUGUAACAUGAAUGUGCACUUAAAAUAUUUUGGAGGGUUAUUUUACUGCAGCAAAAUGUAUUUUACAGAUAGUAUGGUAGCAAAAACUAAAAAAUGAAAAUAUUCUAGCUUUUGCAUCAAUAUUUUUCGUAAACAACACAAUAUCAUAAUUAUAGGGUGAGUUAAAUAUAUUUUUAAAAUGCUAAAAUUGAAAAAUUCACUAAAGGAAUUUUUUUUUUGUUUUUUUUGAAAAACACUGGGCUACUUGCAAAAUUCAAAACUCAGACAUACAGUUAAUCAUUUGUACUUCUACUGAUAUAACUGAUUUGAGAUCAUUUUUAAAUAUUCUUCUAAAAAUAAAAAACUUAAAUAUCAGAUAGAGCUGUUAGCUGAAUCAUUACUGUUUUUUAGUUUUUGCUUUUGUUUACUUUUACAUUUUCCAUGCAGGUGUGGAACCUUACUGUGAUGGCAGACAGGAUGGAGCUCAGUGUUAUGGAGCUUUGGGAG
rnacentral:lncRNA from 1 species